CUCUAAAUACCAUUGCUCUGGUUGCGUGUCUGGAAAAUCUCAAAGUUUUCAUUUUCAGGAUCGAGGAGACGCCGGAGUUCCACCAAAACGAGCACGCCACGGAAAUUGAUGCACAGAAUCUCAAUUUGUUCCCUUUAUUCACCUAAUUUAUAGAUUUUUUUUCUUAAAAUUACAAUUUUUAUCGCUUUUUCUGAAUUUUAACCCCCCAAAACAUCAAAAACUCGUCGAUCUCUGUAAUGUCCUUCCCGAUUCCCAUGAUAUUUAAAUGUUUCCUCCUUUUUUGAUGUUUCUUCCCCGAUUUUUCCCGAAAAAAAUACAAUUGUAACUUGUCGACAAAUACGUGUGUUAUCGAUUAAAGUUUUAUUUAUCGAUUAAAUUCUCUCUGUGAAAUUCGUUUGAAUAAUAAUUUAUUUGCCUUUCUUUCUUGAGCAGUUUUUGCUUUUCGGGUUUCCUUUUUUCAGAAAAUAAAAA
ensembl:ncRNA F53F10.6 ncRNA